rnacentral:rRNA from 1 species
GGCGCAGCCUGAUCCAGCAUGCCGCGUGUGUGAAGAAGGUUUUCGGAUUGUAAAGCACUUUCAGCGGGGACGAUGAUGACGGUACCCGCAGAAGAAGCCCCGGCUAACUUCGUGCCAGCAGCCGCGGUAAUACGAAGGGGGCAAGCGUUGCUCGGAAUGACUGGGCGUAAAGGGCGCGUAGGCGGUUGACACAGUCAGAUGUGAAAUUCCCGGGCUUAACCUGGGGGCUGCAUUUGAUACGUGGCGACUAGAGUGUGAGAGAGGGUUGUGGAAUUCCCAGUGUAGAGGUGAAAUUCGUAGAUAUUGGGAAGAACACCGGUGGCGAAGGCGGCAACCUGGCUCAUGACUGACGCUGAGGCGCGAAAGCGUGGGGAGCAAACAGGAUUAAAUACCCUGGUAGUCCACGCUGUAAACGAUGUGUGCUGGAUGUUGGGUGACUUUGUCAUUCAGUGUCGUAGUUAACGCGAUAAGCAC